rnacentral:rRNA from 1 species
CAUUCAUGUUUUUAAGUUUGUGAAAGGGAUUUCUGGAGGUAGCGAUCAUUCAAUUUAUUGUUUGUGAGUUCCUUUGGUUGUUUCUGAACAACUUAUAUUUUUUGCGAUAACUUCCUUCUCUUCGUGAGAUUGUAAUUUCUUUUGUACUUGCAUAUUCUAUGCUUGAACUUUCUUUUACGUAGGUUGGUGAAGGUUUGACGGACGAGCUUUAGUAGGCAGUGUUUAUCACUGUUGAACUCAUGUCUUUACUUCAGGUGACCUUUAAUGUGAGGUGUUUUUCGUUUUUCCUUCCAGAUGUUUUGCACGUUGCUGCCCCAUUAAUUUGGGUCGCGUAACCGCGCAGUCUCACCUCAGGUGGGCCUGCCACGUGGCCGUUUAAAAAGCUAUGCUUCUCUUGGUACCCAGGAGAUUUCCCUCGUAACGAACCUGUUCGGCGAUCUGACCUGUUAGAGGGUGGAGGGCUGUUGAAAGCGAGUGCUGGAAAACGAUUAACAUGUACACUCGGUUUGAUUGUGAUUGCAAUGAGCAAUGCUUGUACAAUUCUAUAUAACACAUCUAGAGAACAAACAAUUUUUGACAUACAACCCGUGGCGGGGGAUGUCUCGGCUUCCACAUCGAUGAAGAACGUAGCAAAAUGCGAUAUGUAAUGCGAUUUGCAGAACUCGUGAGUCAUCGAAUUUUUGAACGCAAGUUGCGCUCGCGGGAAAUCCUGCGAGCACGUCUGUUUGAGUGUCCGUACAAAAACUAAAACACUUGUUUUUUAUUUUUCCUUUUGUCGACUUUGUUGCUUGCAAUGAUUUUGACAGUGUUGAGUGUUUCCGUUCACAGUGCAUUUUACAUGUACAGGAUGGUCACUUUAAGUUGAGGGGUAACUGUUCCUCGUGAACUUUACCAUUGGCAUGGUUUUUUAAACCUUACUACACCGUUCCCCUGCUACUUUCUAAGUAGUGAGGAGCUGCUCACUUGCAUAUGACUUCGUUUUUCACUUAGAAUUUUUGUCUAGGUAUUGAUGUUCUUUCUGCUGAGGUGCGAUUGUUGUGAAGUGAUUACUUGGAGCAACUAUUCAACAACCUCUGAAGGAUUAUAGCUUUACUGUUUGAACACAAUUUGUACUUGUGAUUUAAGUUGUCGCUUGUGUUUUACUUCUCCAGUGCUAUUCUUUAGUGCUGUGGCAAGACGCGUAGCAAAACAGUGC